rnacentral:tRNA from 1 species
GUUUUAAUAAUUUAACAAAAAUAUUGGUCUUGUAAACCAAAAAUAAGGAACAACCUUUUAAAGCU